UUAGGCAAUCGCUGCCUUUAUAGGUAGAGGAAAGUCCAUGCUCGCACAAUCUGCGAUGAUUGUAGUGUUUAUGCUAGGUUAAUAAAUAAGCCUAGGCAACGUAAGUUGACGGCUGGAGAUGUUCCUAAGGGAAACUAUGGAACUAUCCUAUAAAAGUGUCAAAGAGACGAGCCUUAUAGAAAUAUAAGGAGUGGAACGUGAUAAACCCCAUAAGCGAGAAACCCAAAUUUGGUAGGGGAACCUGAAAGGGCAAAAUGAAGUCUAAUCGGGCUGGUAACAGAGAUAAAUGAUUGCUUGAUACAGAACAUGGCUUAUU
rnacentral:RNase_P_RNA from 1 species